rnacentral:lncRNA from 1 species
CAGGCUCUGAUACCAAUUGUUGGGAAAUCAGUUCCCCAUCCAAACUUGGUAGAAGCAAGAAAUAAGAAUAAAAAUAGACACAAUUUAACAACACAAGAAUUUAACGUGGAAACUCCAAAUCCGGAGAAAAAACCACGACCCACUGAAAAAUUACUAUAUGAUAAAUUUCUACAAUCACACAGUAUUUCUCACCCUCUCGACUCACAACCACUACACUCUUACAAGCCUUUGAAAACCUCUCACCCCUCUAAAAUAAAGAGCAAGGAAUUUCAAACUAGAAGUAAUCACAAGACUAAAGGUAGUGAUUGGUGCAAUUGUAUCAAAGACCUUGGAACUCCUUAAAUAGCCUAAGGGUCUCCACCUACUUUGAUAGCAAAACCAAUGUGGGACAAAA